UGGCUUUCAUGUUGUGGGUGGCACUAGGUAGAUAACCCACAGGAAUCGUCUCUGGAUCUGAGGUCAGGAGAACACAGCCAAGGCUACACAAGACAGAGAAGAUUCUGCUGAAUUUCAAAAGAGUCUCUCUUGCCCAGCCUGGAGUGCAAUGGCAUGAUCUCGGUUCACUGCAACCUCUGCCUCACUGGUUCAAGCAAUUCUCCUGCUUCAGCCUCCCGAGUAGCUGGUGCUAUAGACUCAGCCCGCCUGCACCCAGGUGAAAUAAACAGCCUUGUUGCUCACAUAAAGCCUGUUUGGUGGUCUCUUCACAUGGACGUGAGUGAAAUCAAGUGAAAUUUGGGCCGUGACUCAGAUCGGGGGACCUCCCUUGGGAGAUCAACCCCCUGUCCUCCUGCUCUUUACUCCAUGAGAA